rnacentral:rRNA from 1 species
CGCGACCCCAGGUCAGGCGGGACUACCCGCUGAGUUUAAGCAUAUCAA